UACUAGUCCAAAACUGAGAUCAGCUCAGUGAGAGAGAGAUGAGAAGCCAUGAAGGUUCUAUACUCCACCACUUCUCCAAAGCAGCGUCCCAAAACCUCAACAAAAUCGCAGUCAUAUACGCCUCCGGUGACCGCCGUCGUACCCGCACCUCCGUCACCGUCCAACCCCUCUACGACGGCGACCGCUCCUUCACGUACGCAGAGUUAAUCUCCGCCGUCGAUUCUCUCGCUUCGCAGCUCCGUCGCAAUAACCUUAAUUCAGCUUCGUCAGAGCUCAGGCCGAGAAUUCUCGGCAUAUACAUGCCGCCGUCGGUGGAAAACAUAGUCUCCGUGCUCUCGCGGCGAGGCGUUUCUGCCUCUGGACCCGUCCUGGCCAAAACAGAGGCUGCUCUCCGUCGUUGCUUCGGC
rnacentral:lncRNA from 1 species